UUGUCUGAAAGUGAGCAGCUGGUUACACCAUGAAUUCCCCUCCACAGUGCUCUGCCUUACCAUAGACUCAUAAGUAACAGGACCCUUUCUGCCAUCUGGAUCAUCUACUUUCUGCUUCUUGACCAAGACACACACAUGAGCAAACAGGCUACUCUUCCAAGCCUGGGGAAUGUUAUCCUCUGCAUAAUAUCUGUGUUCACAGUGGAGGUUAACUCUUGUCUGACCACGUAUAUGCUACAAAGCUCAAAAGAGAAAGGAGGAUAUGGGGGAAGCUGAACUUGAAAGAAGGCAGAGGAAAUGGAAGGCCUACAAAAAUUUCCUCGAGGAGCAAAAGGAAACAUCUCUUAUUUGACUGCUCACAAAAGAAGCUUGGAGAAGAACCUAGGUCCUCGUAGUCUGCUCCGUACAGCUGAGGACAGUACCCAGAAAGGUGAGGAGAACUCUGAAGAGCUACCUGGUCCUAGCAUGGAUUGUGCUUUUCUGAGCCUAUGGCCCAGGGAUGGGUUAAUAACUUCUCCCUGGCCUUAUCUUUACCAUCAAA
rnacentral:lncRNA from 1 species